AUACAAUGUUGUUGAACUUAGUGUGAAAAGUAUAUUUUUCACAGCAAAACUUGGAACCCUUAAUAUUUUUCUUUGUUUCAUAUAAAAUCCUAGCACAUAUGGAAUUUGUUUUGCUUCUAUUUCUUGGUUUGUUCAAGUUGGCGUUGAUUUUGGAGACUUCUGCUAGUGGAUAUUGUCAAGACCAAAAGUGGUGUUUACAAGAAGACACCUGGAAAUGUCUCGAGCCAAGCAAUUGUUCUGAACAUGAGACAUGGAACAAGCCGGAUUCACAAACAG